CUUGACAUCCAGCGAACUUGGCAGAGAUGCCUUGGUGCCUUCGGGAACGCUGAGACAGGUGCUGCAUGGCUGUCGUCAGCCCGUGUUGUGAAAUGUUGGGUUAAGUCCCGNAACGAGCGCAACCCUUAUCCUUUGUUGCCAGCGAUUCGGUCGGGAACUCAAAGGAGACUGCCGGUGAUAAACCGGAGGAAGGUGGGGAUGACGUCAAGUCAUCAUGGCCCUUACGAGUAGGGCUACACACGUGCUACAAUGACGCAUACAAAGAGAAGCGACCUCGCGAGAGCAAGCGGACCUCAUAAAGUGCGUCGUAGUCCGGAUCGGAGUCUGCAACUCGACUCCGUGAAGUCGGAAUCGCUAGUAAUCGUGGAUCAGAAUGCCACGGUGAAUACGUUCCCGGGCCUUGUACACACCGCCCGUCACACCAUGGGAGUGGGUUGCAAAAGAAGUAGGUAGCUUAACCCUCGGGAGGGCGCUUACCACUUUGUGAUUCAUGACUGGGGUGAAGUCGUAACAAGGUAGGCGUAGCGAG
rnacentral:rRNA from 1 species